UAUGACUGAGUAGUAUUCCAUUGUGUACAUAUAUCACAUCUUCUUGAUCCAUUCCUCUGUUGAUGGACAUUUAGGUUGUUUUCAUGUCUUGGCUAUUAUGAAUAGUGCUGCAGUGAACAUAGGGGUGUAUGUAUCUUUUUGAAUGAAAGUUUUAUCUGGAUAUAUGCCCAGGAGUGGGAUUGCUGGGUCAUACAGUAGUUCUAUGUUUAGUUUUCUGAGAUAGCUCCAUACUGUUUUCCAUAGUGGUUGUACCAAUUUACAUUCCCUUUUCUCCACACCCUCUUCAGCCCUUGUUAUUUGUUGACUUGUUAAUGAUGGCCAUUCUGGUGUGAGGUGGUACCUCAUUGUAGUUUUGAUUUGCAUUUCUGUAAUAAUUAGUGAUGGUGAACAUUUUUUCGUGUGCCUAUUGGCCCUCUGUGUUUCUUCUUUGGAGAAAUGUCUAUUCAGGUCUUCUGCCCAUUAUUCAAUUGGGUUAUUUUUGUUGUUGUUGAGUUGUAUUAAGUUGUUUGUAUAUUUUAGAGAUUAAGCCCUUUUCAGUUGCAUCGUUUGAAACUAUUUUCUCCCGUUCCAAAGGUUGUCUUUUUUUUUUUUAUGGUUUCCUUUGCUAUGCAAAAGCUUUUAAGUUUGCUUAGGUCCCAUUGGUUUAUUUUUUUUCUGUUGUCUUUUGAGACUGACCUAAGAAAACAUUUGUAGGUUGAUGUCAGAGAAUGUUUUGCCUAUGUUCUCUUCUAGGAGUUUUAUGAUGUCUUGUCUUAUGUUUAAGUCUUUAAGCCAUUUUGAAUUUAUUUUUGUGCGUGGUGUGAGGGUGUGUUCCAGGUUCAUUGAUUUACAUGCAGCUGUCCAGUUUUCCCAGCACCACUUGCUGAAAAGACUUUUUUCCAUUUUAUAUUCUUCCUUUGUCAAAGAUUAAUGGACCUUAAGUGUCUACGUUAGUUCCAUGCCUUAUCUUAAAGGGACUUUUUAAUUUUAACGGUUAUUUGCAGCUGGAGUGUUUGUACUUCCAGGUUGCUUGGGCAUGCCAAAAACAAGUUGUAAGUUCAUUAUAAAAUAUUAAUGUGCAAGGAUUCUUGCUCAUAGAAUAAAGUUUUUUUCCUUUAAAAAUUUCAGUGGCCACUCAAUGGAGCUGUCUAAAAAAAAUCCAUGUGUUAAAAACAUCUCGUUCUUUUUUAUGAUCUCAACUCAUCUGUUUUGUAUCUGAGCUAGAUAUUCUUCAUGCUUCAUUUCCUAUUUUUUUCAUAUUGGUUGCUAUACAAUAAAGGAUUUGAUUAAAGUGCAGGAAAUAGUCAUUGCAUAUGUAUUGGUUUUUAAUCAAUUGAUGAAUAGACGUUGGUUAAAAUGUUUCUAAUUUUAUGAUCUCAUCCUAUGUCUAUGUACUGAUUUAAGCUGGUGCUUAAAAUUGUCAGUCUUCCAUCCAGCAUUCAUUAGGAACUGUGAAGUUUGUCUUCUAAGCUUUGAUUUUAUUUGCAGGGAAUUUCACCAAAGAAAAGUGAUCAUAUGUAUAAUAUAAGUAGUUUAUUUCCAUUUAGUUAUAUCUUUUGGUGGUAAGUUACUAUAGUGAUUGAGGCUUAUAUUUAAUCUUGUCAGAUUAUACAAACUGAAAUUUGUUUUAUGUAAACUAGAAACAAAAGAUUUGAUUAGUUUUGAGCUAACCAUUGCCAUAGCUAAUUUCGUAAACUUUUAUAUUGAAAAGCUUUCUGAGGAGUCCCUUGUGGCACAGUGGGUUAAGGAUUUGGCAUUGUCAAUAUAGUGCCUUGGGUUGCUGCUGCAGCACAGGUUUGAUCCCUGGUCCAGGAACUUCUACGUGCUGUGGGUGUGG
rnacentral:lncRNA from 1 species